UCCCAGACUCCUACGGAGGCAGCAGUGAGGAAUAUUGGUCAAUGGCCGAGAGGCUGAACCAGCCAAGUCGCGUGAGGGACUAAGGCCCUGCGGGUCGUAAACCUCUUUUGCCGGGGAGCAGUGGUCCGGACGCGUCCGGACCGGGAGAGUACCCGGAGAAAAAGCAUCGGCUAACUCCGUGCCAGCAGCCGCGGUAAUACGGAGGAUGCGAGCGUUAUCCGGAUUUAUUGGGUUUAAAGGGUGCGCAGGCGGAGGUGCAAGUCAGCGGUCAAAUUGCGGGGCUCAACCCCGUACUGCCGUUGAAACUGCAUCCCUUGAGUGCGCGAGAAGUAUGCGGAAUGCGUGGUGUAGCGGUGAAAUGCAUAGAUAUCACGCAGAACUCCGAUUGCGAAGGCAGCAUACCGGCGCGCAACUGACGCUCAUGCACGAAAGCGUGGGUAUCGAACAGGAUUAGAUACCCCAGUAUA
rnacentral:rRNA from 1 species